CUCGGGCCUUGUACACACCGCCCGUCACACCCCGAAAGCGGGAAACAGAUGAAGCCGGUGGCCCAACCGCAAGGAGGGAGCCGUCGAGUCUGGGUUUCGUGAUUGGGGUG
rnacentral:rRNA from 1 species